UAUAGUAAGUUUGUGGUCCAAAACUCAUUAAUCAACAAAUUUACUCUAUUCUCUAUCCAAACCCGUAAGCCACCCUCCCUCCUCCAUCUUCAUCUUGUUUUGGAUGUAACUUCUUCGUUCCUUAUCCGAAUCGCGCAAACGAGAUAUCAAAACGAAGCUAGUGACGAAUCCUACGGUCCGAUACAUGAUUCACUGUGAUUUGAUGAGGUAUUCCUCUCCUUUUUCAUUUUUUUAAACUCGGUUUUGGGUAUUUUUGGAUAUUGGAUGUUGAGUUUUGAUUUUCUUGCGUGAUGUUAUGCAUUAAUGUUGUUCGGUAAGUCCGAAUGAAUAUACUCCCUCCGUCCCAUAAUAACUGAGCCAUUUGCAAAAAAAUAUUGUCCUAGAAAAAUUGACCCAUUUCAAUUUUCAAUACAAUAUUAAUUACUUUUUUCCAAUUAUAACACUAAUUAAUACUACUUUCACCAUUCCUAAUUCAAUAUAUUCUACUAUGCAUUUAUGAUAAAAAAGAAUGCACCAAUAGUUGAUAAGGGCACUCAAACCCAUUUUUCUCUCUCUUUUGCGGAGGGAGUAUAUCCACAAAAAUAUUUAUGAUUCGACUAUUUUUAAAUUUUAGCAUUAUUGGAAAAGUGUCUAAAUGUGAAUUUUAUUUGAUAUUUAUGAUAUAGACGAGUAAAUGAGUUGAUUCAACCUAUUUGUUUUCAAAAAAUGUUGUCCCGACGAAAGCGCUGAACCGUGUAGGGGCAUUUUUGUAAUUUUUGAAUUGUUGAAAUAUGAAAAUGAGUUGAGAAAUGGAUUUGCGUCGAUGAGACAGUCGAAAUGGAUAUAUGGUUUGCGACGUUUUGAGUAGGGAUGAAUUUAUUGUGAUUUUUUGAAAGUAGUUUAAAUUUGAGCUACCGCUGGAAGUGACUGUUGACACUUUCAAAAUUCAAAUUUUAAAUGUUUGAAUUGGUGAGUUGUGAAAAUAUUUUUUUCUGUGAAUUUAUGUUAGGUUGGCCGAGUCAAAGGCUCUAGUAUACGAUGUAAACACAAAGGAGACUGUUGAAAAUUCGUCAGAAUCAUUUUCUUAGUUUUGGGGUGAUUUUGAAAAGAUGUUUCAAAACGGAAAACAAGUUGGGAUUCAUUUGGAAAUGAAAAAUAUUUUAUGAACAAUUUUGAUCUCUUUAAGGUCUUUUGAUAGACAUAAAGUAUUUGAGAAAAAUGUUUUCAUGGGUGAUUUUAAGGAGAAAAGUUAUUUUAUUUAGUGUCUUCGAAGUAUUUGAGAAUAUUUUUGAAACAAAAUAUUUUUAGCGGUUGAAAUUUGGAAAGAAAAGUCUUUUCAUAAAGAGUUUCCUUCAAUAUACUUUUGUUAACUUUAGGUCAUGAGAUGACUUAAAUAAUUUCAAGGAUUUUGAGAUGAAUGUCGUAUUGAAAAAUAUAUUAUUUAAGUUUUUGAAAAUAUUGAAUUGAUCGUAUUUUCAAGCGUUGUUGAUAUUUCACCAAGAACGGGUAGAGAGUUUUAGAGCCGAUUUUUACCUAAGUUAUUGUAUCUAUUAGGAUACAUAGCUCGAGGGUUUAGAGAUGUUCUUGUUGUAGAUGCUUACGAGUUGGAGAGCUGUAUGUUUUAAGGAAUGUGUUGCUCAGGUAAGGGCAUUUUCUAGAAACUCCAUAGUUACUUAAAUGCUUGGAUGAUUUAUGUGCUAAUUUGUCUAUUGUGAAUAUGAUAUUUUGAGUGAAUGUGUCUGCUCAGUGUGGGAUCUGUAUGCCAUCAAUGUGAUUAUGAUAAGUUGAUGUGCAUCGCUUUCAUAUGAUUUAUGAGUAAAUAUAUGAAAUGCAUGUUGUUUUGUGAAAUGUUGUUUCGUAUGAAUUGAAAUAAAAUAUGUAAACUGCCAGUUGAGGCAUGUUAAAAAUAUGGAACUUCCAGUUGAGGCAUGUUAUUAUCAAUGCAUAUAUUAAAUGAUAUGUAAGAGUUACAUUUGCACAUAUUGAGUGGACAAUAUAUGCUCAUAGCACGUGUACGCACAAAUUUUAUAGUACGCGUUAGUCAGUUGCGACGCGCGGGGUGUGGACUGCCGUGAAGGAACCCACUUUAAAUCUAUGAGAUUUAUUGAGUCUUGGUUGCUCGACCAUUGUGGGGGGUUUAUCUCAGAUGUGUCUGAAUGGGGACCACAUGAUUUGCUCGACCAUUGUGGGGGGUUUUCCUCAGAUGUAUCCAUAUGAUAAUCAUGAAUUUCUUAGUAGGUUUUGCCUAUGACCAUCUGCAGAGUGGAUUAUUUCGGAAUCAUUUGCUAGGCUAAUUGUACAUCAUUAUAUUUUGUGUGAGGAAUGUUUAUGUUGAUACAAUUUACCAUUCUAGUUUGCUAUGCCUGCUGUAUUUUUGUAAUUAUGUUGUAGCAGUUUGACAGUCAGGCUUGAUGUCAUUGGUGGGUUCUUGUACCCUGUCAUCUAGUUCAGAGUUAAAUAGGAUCAGCUUAGUUGUAUUCAUGUAGAGUCCUUUGUGUAAUUUUUUUUAUACAUUUGUUGGGCAUCGUUGUAAAUGAUAUUACCUUGAGAAAUGAAUAAACGACCCCGGGGGUAAAUGAUAUUACCUUGAGAAAUGAUAUUACCUUUAAUGGGCAUCGUUGUAAAUGAUAUUACCUUGAGAAAUGAUAUUACCUUGUAGAGUCAUUUGUUGUGUAAUUUUUUUAUACAUUUUUUUACUCAGUGUAUAGUUUGAAAUUGAAA
rnacentral:lncRNA from 1 species